UGAGAGUUUGAUCCUAGCUCAGGGUGAACGCUGGCGGCGUGGAUAAGGCAUGCAAGUCAAGGGGUCCGCCUUCGGGCGGAAACCGGCAAACGAGUUAGUAACACGUAGGUAACUACCCAUCACACGGGCAUAGCCAGCCGAAAGGCUGGGUAAUUCCCGAUGGUCUCGCGAGAGUAAAGUCCGCCAACCGGCGGAUGGUGGUGGAAGUGCCUGCGUCCUAUCAGCUUGUUGGUGGGGUAACGGCCUACCAAGGCUUUGACGGGUAGGGGACGUGAGAGCGUGUUCCCCAACGAUGGGACUGAGAUACGGCCCAUACUCCUACGGGAGGCAGCAGUCGAGAAUAUUGGACAAUGGAGGAAACUCUGAUCCAGCGACGCCGCGUGCGGGAUGACAGCCCUUGGGUUGUAAACCGCUUUUAAUUGGGAAGAAUCCGCCGCAAGGCGGAUGACGGUACCGAUUGAAUAAGGGGGUGCUAAUUCUGUGCCAGCAGCCGCGGUAAAACAGAACCCCCAAGCGUUACCCGAAUUUAUUGGGCGUAAAGUGUGCGUAGCCGGUUUGGCAAGUCGCGGGUUAAAUCUCGAAGGCUCAACCUUUGAGCUGCCCGCGAAACUGCCAGACUUGAGGGCGUUAGGGGCUGAUGGAACUCUUGGUGGAGGGGUGAAAUCCGUUGAUAUCAAGAGGAACACCAAAAGCGAAGGCAUUCAGCUGGGGCGACCCUGACGGUGAGGCACGAAAGCGUGGGGAGCAAAAAGGAUUAGAUACCCUUGUAGUCCACGCCGUAAACUAUGGAUACUGGCUAUGUGAAGUGUCGACCCUUCACGUGGCGAAGCUAACGCGUUAAGUAUCCCGCCUGGGAAGUACGGCCGCAAGGCUAAAACUCAAAGGAAUAGACGGGGGCCCACACAAGCGGUGGAUCAUGCGGCUUAAUUCGUCAACAACCGAGGAACCUUACCAGGGCUGGAAACACUCGUGAAAUCCGUCAGAAAUGGCGGACUUCCGCAAGGACUCGAGUUCAGGUGAUGCACGGCUGUCGUCAGCAUGUAUCUUGAGACGCUCCGUUA
rnacentral:rRNA from 1 species